UGAGUACAGACAACUUUGGAACAACCACACCAUCCGACCUGUUCGUCAAUCUCGUUGUCCAUCGGGUAAACCAGAAGCCAUGUACCACCUGCCUGACAGGUUUGACGGAAGGGAAUGUGGAUUCCCAGUGUCCCAGGAAGCCCUACACCAGUUUGAUGACUUACUGCCAGCUCCGCGCAGUCUGUGUGGUGAUGUUGAUCUCCAAAGUCAUUUUGCAGACUUGGAGAGACAGAGUGGGCUUGCUCUACCAGUCAACUGGACAACUGCUGUUGUGAAUUACAUAUCACUCAAGAAUAUGUCUGGACUUUAGAAUCUUCAGCUCCUGGUUCUGCAACAUAAUUUGACUGGUAGACAUACGUGUUAUGUAAAUAAAUUAUUGUAAAAAUAACUAACA